GGCUUCAUGAAUCUGAAGGAACAGAGGCAGCUGUAUUAAUGAGCCAGCUUGUCAGAAAGAUACAAAGACAGGCAGAUUCCUGAGUUUAAGGUCAGCCUGGGACACAAGUUGUCCAGGCCCCAGGUAUAGUAGGAAUGGUAAUUUGAGGAUGGGUCCCACCCAGCUAACUUAGCACGGGUGGGUGACAGAGCCAGGCAGGUCUCUGAAUUCUUUUGCAUGUUAAAAGGAAAUGUGUGCUUGCUGUCUCCUGAGAAUUAAGUGACUGGGGUCAUGGGAUGCUGGCUCAUAAAAUAAUCAAAAGGGAACCUGGCAUAAAAAACUGAAUUAAUAUGUAAGUAAAAAACGGGACUUUUGGUCUGCUUGAGAUGAGCUUGAAAGCAAUAGUACUUGUUUCCUUUUUUCCUUUUUUCCUCUGGCAGGAGCUAAGCUGUCUGAUAUCUGGAGAGUGGAAACAGCUCUUCAAGAAUUUUUCUAACAGGGUUUCUGAUUUUAGUUGGAAAACCCAUGGAAAGCAAACACAGCUCUUUGAGAAUUUUUCUGCUUUCUGAUUUUGAUCAGAAAACCCAAGGAUUACUUUUAGAAUUUUUUCUAACAAGAUUUCUGACUUGGUUGGAAGAUCAAGAAUUUUUUAUAGCAACUUUUCUGACUCUGGUCAGAAAACCCAUGAGUUACACAGAUAGCUUUUAGAAUUUUUACUAGCAGAGAGAGCUAUCUCAAGCAGAAAACUAGCUGUCUCAACCAGAGAGUUUUUAGGAAAGCAAUUUAAAAAAAAAAAAAAAAAA
rnacentral:lncRNA from 1 species